rnacentral:lncRNA from 1 species
GGGUUACACUAAUGACUGGACCGAAUGACAGGACCGAAUGACAGGACCAAAUGAAAAAUGCUAAUAACUUUUUCAUUUCUCAAAGGAUUGAACUCAAAUUUGAAAUAUAAUAAGAUUUCAUCAUUUGAUAAAUAGAUUUAAGAAAAAAAAAUAAAAAAAAUUGUAAGAAACUUAAGAAAACGUGACAUGACCAACUCUGAUAAUGACAGGACCAACAUCGAGAAUGACAUGACAAAAUAAAAAUGCUAAUAACUUUUUUAUUUUUCAAAGGAAUUAUUUCAGAUUUGAAAUAUAAAAUGGUAUGUCAUAUUUUGAAACUAAAAUGUUAUAAAAAAUAUAAAUUUAUUUCCAAAAACUUUCGAAAACGUGACAUGACCAUCGCUGACUGCCAGGACCAAUCUCGACAAUGACCGGACCA